rnacentral:pre_miRNA from 15 species
AAUAUUCUGGACUCUCUGCUGUCUUUGAAUCUUGGCACUGGGAGAAUUCACAGUUGAUUUUAUUAUUCUGUGGUUCUGCGGGUGCCAAAAUUGAAAUAAUGGCCUAAAACCUCAAAAAAGG